AUACCCAAGAGCUCUAGAGAAAUCGUACUGAUUGCGUAGUAGCCGUAGUCUUAUGUACUUACGGCCAGCAUAUUUUACAUCACGAAGUAUUACUUUUAAUUAGUGAACUUUUUAAUUAUUGCUUGAAUCGCAAACAUAUCAAUUACAAAGUUGUAGGGCACCUUAAAUAACCUCCAAAUCAAGCAUUUAUUUCGUGCUGAAGUGGUCCUGGUUCUUUCGAAGAAAAAAAAAAAAGCCCGCGAAAUACGAUAUAGGUGCGCACUCAUACGCCGCUACUCAAGCGCAUACAAGCAACCAUUGAAAAAUAUACGCCUGCAUUCUCUUAUCGCCGCAUCGUACAAGGCUCCGCAACGCGUAUCAAUGCGUCAGCGGCGUGUUCUCUUGGUCCCGUGGCUAUCACAUAGCGUGAAGCCCUGUAUCGAGCUGCCGCAGCUAGUAAAGCCGUGUAUCCGUGGCUAUUGUUGUGCCAUACUACGAGCACCACGAGGCGACGGGAGCGGCCAUACUACGUGCACCACGUGGCUUCCACGAGGCGACGGGAGCUCCCACUUCUCUGGGACGAAUCAAGAAUUCGACAUGGGAGGCGACUUCAAGAAGCGCCCAGCCAUCUUCCGGCGGGUGAUGUCAUCACCCUGCCCCGCAUGGUUGCUGCCGACGAGGGGUCGCCUAAGGGACUUAAGCAGGGUGUCUACUAACCGGGAAAAUCGGGAAUUCUCAAGGAUUUUGAGUAGUCUGGAAAAACUCGGGGAAAACUCGGGGAAUUUGUGCCUCUAUCAGGGAAAAUUAGCUGCAAUUUCAUUGAAAGGGUCGAAAGUCGCGGUAAUGCUCGCUCGAGUAGAAAUGGUAAUGAAUAGUCUUUGACGUCCAGUCGUCGGCUGGAGGAGUUGCCAAAGUACAGUCAACGACCGACUAUCCGGAUUCCCGAUAAUUCAGACGGCUUCGCGGCACCACCAGUACCCCAUAGAGUCAAUGUAUCGGAACGUCUGAAAUUCCGGACGCAAAACUCUUCACCAUCCGAUUUUCGGGACGUUUUGCCGUGACCGCAGGUCCGAAACGGCAUUAAUAAAAACCACCACUGCUGCCAUUUUGAUUACCUCGCCGCCUCAAACGCGCGCUCGCACGCAGAUCCACUGGCAGCCGUAGCCACCACUGCGGCAACGCUAGGCCUAGCUGUUUCGACGUUCGCUAUGAAGGUUCUUGCCCUUGGGUGCCGUGUUUUUUAUUGAAAGAAUUCGCUGCUGUCAGCAAUGGCACGGACUCUGCCUUUGCGGUCCUCGCGAUUGGCUUAGAAGCGUGGAUAGCACGUUGCGUUGCAUAAUGCCGGUUCCCGAAAGUCAGCUUCGCCUCCGUAGAGAAAUGUCACUUUGGUGAAGCAUACGGAAAAGUAUUGCAGUGAAGCAUAACAAGCGUGGGAAGGGGCUACUGCCACGGGAUACAGUAUGCAUUCCUUAUAUAAUUAUACACGCGUGUACCCGGUAUUUCCUCUCACAGUACGAGCACCGAUAUGCCUAAUACGUGUAGCGACAAGCCUUCAGAGCGUUUUCGAAUGUGCCUGUGGCGGUUUGAGCCCUUAAGGGCAAUAAAUGACAUGCAUUUAUUUUUUUAGAACUGGCCAAUUUUUCGGACGUUUUCGCGGCCCCUAAGGAGGUCAAAAACUCGGACGUGGACUGUGGAACUGACCAAGAAGAUGCUUCAAAAUGGUCCGUGGGGCGAACGAGGGGCGGAAGGAGUACAAGAACAGAAAGGACCAAUGCAUUGAGGAAUGAAUGGGAAAGGAAGCGUGCUGCCGCCAUUUUGAAGGAGCUUGAGCUCAAAAAACAGUGUUGGCUGAUGCAGAGAUGCAAGUGUCCCUCAUCCAAACCAAAACAAACUCUUUGAAGUAGUGAAACACAACACUGAGGCGUCGUGCGCGGGCUGAGAGUAUGUCAAGACAGUUGAGGUUGACUUACGAGCUGUUGCGAGAGAAUGUCAGUUGUGACACAGUUCGGGCCUCAUACCACUGAGCUUGCUAUCACUUGAUAGAAAUGGCUCAUAUUCGAAAAUAUUUGCUUUUGUUUGCAUCUCCUUUUUUAUUCGUACUUGAGAAUGUCCGACUCGAUUUGCAAUUUUUUUCAAAUACAUUUUAUUUGCUGUGCACUUUACUAACCCCUCCCUUCUAUUCUCUUUUUGAAUAACAUAAACUCUACUCCUUAGUAUUCAAAUUGGAUUAAGUCGUUUUUUAAUUUUUUUCAUAUGCUUACUAGAUAGUAACAGCAUCGGGCGAUAUGGUUUCAGCUCGUCUUGACAUAAAACAUAGUUCUGCAUCACUCAGGGAAUUUUGCAAAGGCACUCGGGGAAAACCUGGAAAACUCAGGGAAUUUGGAAAUGUCAACUUGGUAGACACCCUGUUAAGGGAGAACCGGUCUAUUUUGAGAGGAGAGAGUCGCUUCCAGCCUCCCAGUCGCUCUGAUGUGCUCUUACUGCUACCUGUACGCUAUCAUCCACUAUCUGUAAAUAUUGUAUAAAGUUUUUUCGUUUCUUCUUCGUCUACGGUACGAGUCCGUCUAUCGUCCUCCACCCCGAAGUUGCAAGAGUGGAUGGCGAGCUGUGGGAUUCGAAGCCAGAUAAUGCCCGUUACACCGCUCAACGACAGCCACGAGGACCACCGGCGUCUGGUACUUUGGAGGGGGUGAGUGCCCGACGUUUGCCUUUCGCAUCGCCAGACCUUUGUCGCACACGUAAAUGCUAAGAACCAUUGCUCAAGUAUUCUGAAAGGGUUGUAGUGGUUUUGUCCUAGUUCGCUUCAGGCCUUGCAUAGAUUUGCGGCUUCGGAAACAAAGGUAAUUUAGAGGCAAAACCGGAGACGAUGGAGAUCACGAUGGAGAAGCUCAGGAUACAGGACCUUCUUGAUGUUUGUCAGGAGAUGGGCAUUUCGGUUGCCACGGCAAGGCGAAAGAAAGCCAUUCUGGACGUUAUGAGGGCACAAGAGGUAACUGAGGAGGAAGUUGAAGAGGUUUGGGGAGAAAUUCUUGAGAGGUGAAGCGAGAAAAAAAUGCGCGACGAGGCAGAAGAAAAGGCGCGAAGAGGCAGAGGAGCAGAAAGGGCGCGACGAGGCAGAGCAGAAAAAGCACGAGGAGGCAGAGGUGAGGAAAAGGCGCGAGGAGGCAGGCGAGAGAAAAAGGCGCGAAGAGCGAGAUUAUGCUCUCAAAAUGAGAGAACUAGAAAUAGAGCAAAUUCGAAUCAGCUUGGCGCGUUCAAGUCCCCUUUCCGCUGGAGACGAUACGCCUAAACUGAGAAUACAGGGCCUGAUGCUACCGUACAGGAUAGGCGGUGAUAUCGCACUUUUUCUGGUGAAUUUCGAACGUACGUGUGAAGGCUGGACGAAAGCAUUUGGUCUCAAAAACUCGUUUCAGUUGUCCCAAAAGAGGCCGCGGAAGUUCGCGCACCCUUGUCUAAAGAAGACCUCUCUGCCGAAAUGCCUCUCUGCCGAGGCAUUUCGACAGCGGUUUAGACAGGCAAAAAGGGGCAGCGAGUUGCACACUGAGUUCGUGUACGAGUUAGUCUAACUUAAAAGAGUGGCUAAAAAGUGCAAAAGUGUAUGGCAACGACGACAAGGUGCUUGAAUGCAUAGCACAGGAGCAGUUUUGUCGAGUUCUUCCAGAGGAAGUUAGACUUUGGCUGCAGGACAGGCUCCCAGAGGUAGACCUAGAGAAGGCAGCGCAGCUCGCGGUGAAAUAUUACACGCGUUGAAACUUCCAAGGAAAACCGAUUCAGGAAGAUAGGCUAGAAACAAAGGGCUAUUCUGUAAAGCGGUUUUCCUCUCACAACCCAGUUUUGCCAAAUAAGAAAUCAUCGAUGAGCGACAAGUUCAGCAAGGGAGUAUCAACUAAGGCUGAGGUGGCGAGGGAAGGGCUAGCAGAGACAGCCCAGUCGGCUGGGGCCGCUAAAGCUAAGGCAUACGCAGAGCGCGCGUUCGAGGCCCGGAGACCAAUUAUCUGCUUCCGUUGCAACAAGGAAGGCCAUAUUUCCUUAAAUUGCAAGGAGCAAAUCACGUUCGCCAGCAUUAGCCAUUCGGACGAAAAUCUGAGGCUGCUCGAGCCAUAUAUCCAGAAGGUCGUGGUAAACAGGAACAUGUGCCGGGCACUUCGCGAUUCCGCCACCACCAUGGAUGUUACUCAUGCGUCCUGUGUUUUUCCCGGAGACUAUAUAGGGGAAUGCGCCUGGAUCAGACAAGUCGCAGAAGAGCGGAGCACGUGCUUGCCAUUUCCCAGGGCAACCCUCGAGGGCGCGUUUGGAAGGUUGCAAAAGGAGGCAGCCGUGAGUCCAAGUUUACCCGAAGACUUUUCAUAUCUUUUUUCAAACAAAUCUGAGCAGCUUUUAGAAAAGGAGGGCCGGUCGUUCUCUGCCAGUGUCUCGUGCAUGGCAUUAACGCGAUCGCGGUCGCGCGCCCUCUCAAAGAAACCUGAAAGCUCGCCUUCAAACGAGUAAAUUACCGACAAUGUAACGUCCUCAUAGCGGCUGUCUAGGCCGGGAGAUACGGCUGAUGGAAAGCAGAUGACUCAGACUGGUGAUGGAUCAAUUACCGGAUCAGUGACAGUGAGUGAGGAGCCUUUCGAGACUCGGGAAAAUGGGGCGCCUAGGGCUGAAGUGGAAGGUUCACUGCUUAGUCCCGCAUCCUUUUGCUGGGAGCCGCUUAUUAGGGUUGAACGAAAGGCGCUUAUCGUGGCACAGAAAAGUGACCCUUCGCUAACUGGGCUGCAUGCUAAUGUAAAUGAAGGAGUGGCCCGAACGAAAUGUAGAACGAGAUGUUAACAUCUCGUUCUACACUAUAAUAGGCCAGGUCUCAAGUACCGGAAAUAUCAGGAUUUUAAGGGUCGGACAUACAACCAACUACUCGUGCCAGAAAAGUACAGACCACAGCUUUUAGAGUUAGCACAUGGGAAUGUUUGGGCGGGUCACUUCGGUAUCCAGAAGACAAAGGCUAGGCUAGCGCAAUAUUUAUAUCGGCCAGGAUGCUGGAAAGAGGUUGCAACACUUGUUCGGUCAUGCGACGCAUGUCAGCAAGUUGGUGAACCUAAUGACAAGUGACAGAAUUUUACUCGGAGCGAGACAGGGCAAAAUAUAAAUUUUCUUCGAUGGCCUCAGCUGUGUCUUGCCUGGCCAAAUGGCUUAAGAAUAGCUUCGCAAUAUAUUCUUUAGCUGUUUAUUCUCUUUGAAUGUGUCUUCCUUGAGAGCACUAUUUGUGGAGGUCUGUAUGCCGGGCUCUUUAUCGUGUGCGUGUUUCGUGUUCAGUACAAUAACCGUAAUGGUGCUGUUAGAGCACCAUUGGAGCGUUUGAGGGGGUUAGAGCGUUUGUUUUCAUGGAGUUUGGUCUGGCGUUGUGGAGAGCAUUGGGAGGGUGCUCACUUUCACCGAAGUGAUUGGCGUUGAUUUUCGGUCACUCCGUGAGCUUUCUCAGAUCCAAGCAAAGACCAACGGAUGAAAGAGCGGCAAAGCCAUUUCCUUGCCCCCAUCAAGGAUGUCACUCAAUCAGCACAUCGCAUACGUCGAGCCGCGUCGAACAGCUCGACGUCUGGAUGUAUUAUCUGGCGGUGGGGGGGCUGUUGUGCCGUACUACGAGCACCACGCGGCAACCACGAGGCGACGGGAGCGGCCAUGCUACAUGCACCACGUGGCUACCACGAGGCGACGGAUGCUCCGACUUCUCCUCGACGAAUCAAGAAUUCGACGCGGGCGGUGUCACCACCCUGCCCCGCCUGGUUCCUGCCAGCGAGAACUCGCCCAAACUGGUUCCUGCCUACGAGGGGUCGCCAAAGGGAUUUAAGGGAGAAUCGGCCCAUUGUGAGAGGAGAGAGUCGCUUCCAGCCGCCCAGUCGGUCUGAUGCGCUCUUACUGCUACUGUACGCUAUCAUCCACUAUCUGUAAAUUUCUUUUUCGUCUACAGAACGAGUCCGGCUAUCGUCCUUCACCCCGAAGUCACAACACUAUUCGCUUGGGAGCGCUUGAGUAGCGGCGUGCGAGCGCGUAUCUAUUUCGUAUUUUGGAUGUAUCGCGCGCUUUUGUUUUUUCUCGGAAAAACCAACGAGGCAAAGCUGAGCACUAAACAAAUGCUUGAUUCGGAGGUUAUUUGAGGGGCCCUACAACUUUGUAAUUGAUAUGUUUGCGAUUCAAGCAAUAAUUAAGAAGUUCACUAAUUAAAAGUAAUUAAGUAAUACUUCGUGAUGAAAAAAAUACUGGCCGUAAGUACAUAUGACUACGACUACUAUGCAGUCGGUACGAUUUCUCUAGAGCUCUUGGGUAUCUUGACAAUCUUGUCCAAGUUAGCUGGGACACCCUGUAUAUAUGGGCAAAGAUGGACUACAUUGUAUUCUAAAGGAGCCAAAGGCUGAGCUUAUACUGACCCACAACGACCCAAAUACGAAAAAAAAAAUAUACUGAGAUCUGUGACGUCACAAGGACGUACCGGUGCUGAGGUAAAGGCGCGAGAUUCAGUCAAAUUUUACCUUCAUUUUACCCUCCAACGUACAACGAAUUGCCGCUAAGUUAAACGAAAAUAGAAUUGUGGAAAAUGCUUUAUCAAUUUAAACUGAUUUAGUGUUUCUUUUGAUGUCUCUUUAAACACCAUAAGUUGUGAUUUUCUUUUCGAUAACUGCACCAAACUUCGUGUGUAUUGUUACAAAUAUGAACCACAUAUUCCCCACUGUCGCACAAUAUCUUGCUCGUAUAGACUUGUCGAUUAGUCGCUUUCUUCUUUUUAUUGUUAUUACCCGUCAUGGUGGCUUAAUUAUAUAGUGGCUGUGGCGUUGCGCGGCUAAGCACGAGGUCCCGGGAUGAAAUUCCGGCCAGUGUUCGCAUUUGAGUGCGAAUUGCAAAAACGUCCGUGUACUUAGACUUAGGUGCACGUUGUUGUGCCAUUACCACCAGCUCGGAUUCCGAAUCUACAAGAUGCAGAAUUUAUCCUGCGAACGCCCUUUGGACAAACCCGGGGCUGCGCCGAAAGGCACAGCGCCCGAAUUCUCCUUGGACAAGUCAAGAUGCUGAUCCGUUAAGCAGCGGAGUCCUGAGGAGAAGCAUCGGCAAGCGACAUGUCCAAACGUGCAACAAUGUGCCAGACAGCCCGGCGCCGUAUUUCCUUUUGCCUCCCCGACGCCGCCGCCUGGAAAACCGGAUCCGCCGACCCACCGGGAGCUGAGUGCCGCUCUCGAGUGGAGUGAGAUGUGUCACGCGUUGCAGUCUCGCCGCACGUCGCCGUGCGGGAACAGUCGUGUUUGCUGUGAGCUCUUGGCCCCCGUGCCGAUCCGAUCUUGUCCUGUAUCAUGACCUGUAUAUAGUGUAUAAAGUCCCUUUCGUUAUUCUCA